rnacentral:rRNA from 1 species
GACGAACGCUGGCGGCGUGCUUAACACAUGCAAGUCGAACGGGAAGAAAAAGAAGAGCUUGCUCUUUUUUGGAUCCUAGUGGCAAACGGGUGAGUAACACGUAAACAACCUGCCUUCAGGAUGGGGACAACAGACGGAAACGACUGCUAAUACCGAAUACCUUCCAAUUUCCGCAUGGAGAUAGGAAGAAAGGGUGGCCUCUACUUGUAAGCUAUCGCCUGAAGAGGGGUUUGCGUCUGAUUAGCUAGUUGGUGAGGUAACGGCCCACCAAGGCGACGAUCAGUAGCCGGUCUGAGAGGAUGAACGGCCACACUGGAACUGAGACACGGUCCAGACUCCUACGGGAGGCAGCAGUGGGGAAUCUUCCGCAAUGGACGAAAGUCUGACGGAGCAACGCCGCGUGAACGAUGAAGGUCUUCGGAUUGUAAAGUUCUGUGAUCCGGGACGAAGGCAUCAAUUGAGAAUAUUGAUUGAUGUUGACGGUACCGGAAAAGCAAGCCACGGCUAACUACGUGCCAGCAGCCGCAGUAA